rnacentral:misc_RNA from 1 species
GGUUUGAUUCUGGCUCCAGAUUUUGCCGCCUUGGCGGCGGUCGCAAGUCGAACGGCGCUUACGGACUUCGGUCACGGUGGCGAGUGGCGAACGGGUGAGUAAUGUAUCGGAACGUGCCCUAGUAGCCAGGGAUAACUACCCAGCGUAGCUAAUACCGCAUACCGCCCUUCGGGGGAAAGCGGAGACCUUCGGGCCUCGCACUAUUAGAGCGGCCGAUAUCGGAUUGGCUAGUUGGUGGGGUAACGGCUCACCAAGGCGACGAUCCGUAGCUGGUUUGAGGACGACCAGCCACACUGGGACUGAGACACGGCCG